CCUACGGGUGGCAGCAGUGGGGAAUAUUGGGCAAUGGGCGCAAGCCUGACCCAGCAACGCCGCGUGAAGGAAGAAGGCUCUCGGGUUGUAAACUUCUUUUAUCAGGGACGAAGCAAGUGACGGUACCUGAUGAAUAAGCCACGGCUAACUACGUGCCAGCAGCCGCGGUAAUACGUAGGUGGCAAGCGUUAUCCGGAUUUACUGGGUGUAAAGGGCGUGUAGGCGGGAAAGCAAGUCAGAUGUGAAAACCAUGGGCUCAACCUGUGGCCUGCAUUUGAAACUGUUUUUCUUGAGUACUGGAGAGGCAGACGGAAUUCCAAGUGUAGCGGUGAAAUGCGUAGAUAUAAGGAGGAAGACCAGUGGCGAGGGCGGUCUGCUGGACAGCAACUGACGCUGAGGCGCGAAAGCGUGGGGAGCAAACAGGAUUAGAUACCCCAGUAGUC
rnacentral:rRNA from 1 species